GGGGAUGUAAAGGUUUCGACGGGGAUUGUGAGCCUUAGUAAGCGAGUAGCGGUGCGGAACCGCUAUAAAAUCCGCAAUUUUAAAAUUAAACGACAACAAUACAGUUGCGUACGCAGCCUAAUUAGGCUGCCGUCUUUACCGGGAACACCGCGGCCCGGAUAAAGGCGUCGAUUAGCGGUGAACGUGAACCGAAGAACGCCUUUACUUCGGUCAUGACAUAAAGGCUACUAAACCGCAGAGCCUGCCUUUGGGCGCUGCGCGGAGGGAAUGUAAAAUCAACGGCUACACUCGUAGAAAGCUUUGGUAAGUGAUUUUCGGACACGAGUUCGACUCUCGUCAUCUCCACCA
rnacentral:tmRNA from 1 species